GGGGCUCUGGCUCAGUGGUAGAGCCUAUGCUUGCCAUGCAGAAGGUCCCAGGUUCAAAACCUGGCAUCUCCA